CAGAAAAGUUGUUAAGAGACAUUUUUACAAGAAUGACCUUACAAUCAUUAUAUUCUGCUUAAAACCCACGGUUAUGACCAUAAAGAAAAUAUAUAGUUAAGUUUUUAAACAGAUUAUGAAAAAUACACUUACCUGGGAAUAGCCAAACAAAUAAUGGAGAAUCAACUUAGCAAGCAAGCAAACCCUUACCGCGAAAACAGAC
rnacentral:lncRNA from 1 species